GUCGAGAAUUUUUCACAAUGGGCGAAAGCCUGAUGGAGCGACGCCGCGUGGGGGAUGAAUGGCUUCGGCCCGUAAACCCCUGUCAUUUGCGAAUAAACCUUGCCAUUUAACAGACGGCAAGCUGAUUGUAGCGGAAGAGGAAGGGACGGCUAACUCUGUGCCAGCAGCCGCGGUAAUACAGAGGUCCCAAGCGUUGUUCGGAUUCACUGGGCGUAAAGGGUGCGUAGGCGGUUGGGUAAGUCUGUCGUGAAAUCUCCGAGCCUAACUCGGAAACUGCGUCGGAUACUAUUCAACUCGAGGAAUGGAGGGGAGACUGGAAUUCUCGGUGUAGCAGUGAAAUGCGUAGAUAUCGAGAGGAACACCAGUGGCGAAGGCGAGUCUCUGGACAUUUCCUGACGCUGAGGCACGAAAGCCAGGGGAGCAAACGGGAUUAGAAACCCGUGUAGUCC
rnacentral:rRNA from 1 species